GAGAAGUAGGCAAAUGAUGCGGCUGAACAAUGCCUCCUUGACUUCAGGAUAUAAAAACUACUUUCAUGAGCUUCAAGUCAGGGUAAUGGUGCUCAGAAAAAGAAGCCAAUCAGGAGAUCUGUUUUCUGUGCCCUUUUAACACUUCUAACUCAGGCACCCAAACCAGCCUGUAGCAGAAAGAGCAUCAAAGCCAUCCUCUGGACUCUACACAAGCCUUUGUCCUAUGUCUGGAGACUUCUUGGAAGCUGGAGCACACAAAUAGCUACAGCAAACUUGAGGAAUGGGCAUGAAUAGACUGGCUUCGGGGAACCUGCCAGCUUGGCCGUGUGGCCAAGGUAAUAGGCAAGCCAAGGCAGAGCUAGAGCUCAGAGCUGGAGGGGAAAUUAAAGCAGCAAAUGUAGAAACAUUAAGCCUGAAGAGGCGACGACGUUGAAUUCUAAAAUGCAGGCCAAAGCUCAGACUGCAAGCUGUCUGGCUGCUCCGGGUGUGCCCAGAAGUCAAAGUCCAGCAGGGGCAAAGGUGGAGGUGUGGUCCUGCACGUGGGGUGUUGGGGGGAUGUGGAAGAGGAGGUGCUUUAAGAUCCAGAGAUUCCAGCUGCCCUGGUGCACCCUUGGAAGAAUAAAAGGCUAGGAACUGGACAAGUCAGGCUCGAGUCCAAGCUGCCUGAGGAAUCGGGGAAAGAAUGGAGCUCAGAGUGGGAGGUCAGGGCAGUAUUUAAAAAUCCAGGAUAGCAGCAAAGCUGGCGGUGGCCCCUGACUCUGGUAAGGGCAGCCUGCAGCACCAUGCCAAGGGGGGCCUGACUGAUCAUGCCCUGCAUUUGCAAACAAGGAUUAGUAGGGUAUGAGUAGGAUUCUGCUGGUGCCUGGGAAGGCAGUGCCAUCUACAACUUUACAAAGUUUUAACAAAGGCCUGAAGGACACAACCUUCCCCAAAGUCCUGACGUCGCUGUUUGCUGGCAACAAAUAGAGUCAAAAGAAGAGAGGCACAGAAUGUGCCAGGGGUGUGCUGCGUACAGCCCCGAUGACCACAAGGCCUUCUUGGGUCAAGUUCUGCCAUCUCUGGUUAAGAUGGGCUCACCCUCUAGGACCCUGAUUGAGUCCUCGGACCACCAAGAGUGCCCCACCAAGAGCCUCCCUCUUCUGGUGACUCGUGCCUGCUUCCCGUGGAGAGCUCCAGAAGGGAGGAAACUGUGAGGAGGUGGAGAACGUGGCAGGGAUCCUAACUUUCUUACUGAAGGAAGUUCUUCACAAGUACCCAUCUGCCUUCAGGGAAGAAAACAUAACUCAUUUUGGUCUUUCAAAUUCAGUUCUCAAAACCAAAUCCUGUUGUCAGCAAUCUGUGUCCCAACGCCUUCUUCAGCAACAGCAUUUUCCCUGUGGAAUUAGUUUCCAAUGUUCUUUCUUAAAUAAACCACUGAAGAUUAAAAGGAAUCCAGAUACCCACCACAUUUUGUUUCCUUAAUGAGUAAUUAUCACAUUUCUUUGGCUACUUAAAUGCAUUCUCUGAGUCAGGUAAAGGAGAUCGUAAUAGUUAAUCAACAAGAAGUAAUUCUUGGGUACUUAACAAUAGUCUAAGCACUUAAUCAUACUUAAAAUUGACUAUUAAUGAACCUUAUAAACCAUUUUGCAAUUCUGAAAGUGAAUUUCUCUGCAGGCUUAGAGAUUACUAAGCCAUUUAGAUCUUACCAAACAAAUAUUAUUCAUGCUUUAAUUCCUGGGAAAAGAAAUUUAGAAAAUGAGGUUAAUGUUCAGUUGUCCUUUCCUGAGUUUAACAAUUAUAUAUUCCAUCUGGGAUGCUCUGAACUCAGGUUAAACAUUCUUCAAGUUAUUCCCACAUUUUUCAAGUUAUUCCCACGUUAGUGACCUACUUUAUUAGUAUUAUUACUAAAGAAAAGGGCUGGGUGCGGUGGCCCACAUCUGUAAUCCCAGCACUUUGGGAGGCUGAAGCAGGAGGAUCACUUGAGCUUGGGAGUUCAAGACCAGCCUGAGAGGGAGACUCCGUCUCUAC
rnacentral:lncRNA from 10 species